rnacentral:lncRNA from 1 species
UGGAGUUGGGCUGUUGGGGGUACUGGAGGACUGGAGUUGGGCUGUGGGGGUACUGGAGGACUGGAGUUGGGCUGUUGGGGGUACUGGAGGACUGGAGUUGGGCUGUUGGGGGUACUGGAGGACCAGGGAAACACUGCACUAGAGCUUACAUUAACAUAAAACACUGGCUAACCACUGGUGUGGGGGUAAGACUCAGUGGAAAUGCAUCACCAUAGUACUAGACUAGUACUCAUAAUAAGUCAGUACUGCUGCAGUACUCGUAUACAGUACAGUUUAAGUCAGUACUGCUGUAGUACUCUUAUAUAGUACAGUUUCAGUCAGUACUGCUGUAGUACUCUUAUACAGUACAGUUUAAGUCAGUACUGCUGUAGUACUCUUAUACAGUACAGUUUCAGUCAGUACCGCUGUAGUACUCUUAUACAGUACAGUUUCAGUCAGUACCGCUGUAGUACUCGUAUACAGUACAGUUUCAGUCAGUACUGCUGUAGUACUCUUAUACAGUACAGUUUCAGUCAGUACUGCUGUAGUACUCUUAUACAGUACAGUUUCAGUCAGUACUGCUGUAGUACUCGUAUACAGUACAGUUUCAGUCAGUACUGCUGUAGUACUCGUAUACAGUACAGUUUCAGUCAGUACUGCUGUAGUACUCGUAUACAGUACAGUUUCAGUCAGUACUGCUGUAGUACUCGUAUACAGUACAGUUUCAGUCAGUACUGCUGUAGUACUCUUAUACAGUACAGUUUCAGUCAGUACUGCUGUAGUACUCAUAUACAGUACAGUUUCAGUCAGUACUGCUGUAGUACUCGUAUACAGUACAGUUUAAGUCAGUACUGCUGUAGUACUCUUAUACAGUACAGUUUCAGUCAGUACUGCUGUAGUACUCGUAUACAGUACAAUUUAAGUCAGUACUGCUGUAGUACUCUUAUACAGUACAGUUUCAGUCAGUACUGCUGUAGUACUCAUAUACAGUACAGUUUAAGUCAGUACUGCUGUAGUACUCUUAUACAGUGCAGUUUCAGUCAGUACUGCUGUAGUACUCAUAUACAGUACAGUUUCAGUCAGUACUGCUGUAGUACUCGUACACAAUACAGUUUAAGUCAGUACUGCUGUAGUACUCGUAUACAGUACAGUUUCAGUCAGUACUGCUGUAGUACUCGUAUACAGUACAGUUUCAGUCAGUACUGCUGUAGUACUCGUAUACAGUACAGUUUCAGUCAGUACUGCUGUAGUACUCGUAUACAGUACAAUUUAAGUCAGUACUGCUGUAGUACUCGUAUACAGUACAGUUUCAGUCAGUACUGCUGUAGUACUCUUAUACAGUACAAUUUAAGUCAGUGCUGCUGUAGUACUCUUAUACAGUACAGUUUUACUAUGCAAUUAGCUGUAGCCCCUAACAUGGCGAUCAAUCAUCAAUAAUAUCAUGAAGUUGGAUAAAAAUAUUGAUCAUAUUUAUAAUUCGCAUUGACAUUGAUAAAUGGUGCUGGACUGUAAUUAAGGUUAUGAGGUACACUAGUGACUUUACAUUGAGCCCUGGUAAUGGGAGCCUGGUACCAGAGUUAUCGGGUACACUGGUGACUCAGCUAGUCUGUUGAACUCUACAGGGGGGAAACAAUGAGCUCUGUAAGGGUUACACUGCAGGGGGAAACAAUGGGCUCUGUAAGGGUUACACUGCAGGGGGAAACAAUGAGCUCUGUAAGGGUUACACUGCAGGGGGAAACAAUGAGCUCUGUAAGGGUUACACUGCAGGGGAAAACAAUGAGCUCUGUAAGGGUUACACUGCAGGGGGAAACAAUGAGCUCUGUAAGGGUUACACUGCAGGGGGAAACAAUGAGCUCUGUCAGGGUUACACUGCAGGGGGAAACAAUGAGCUCUGUAAGGGUUACACUGCAGGGGGAAACAAUGAGCUCUGUAAGGGUUACACUGCAGGGGGAAACAAUGAGCUCUGUCAGAGUUACACUGCAGGUGAUUUUCACUAACAUCUACCAUGCUUUCAUCACCAUGUUAGAUUUUGUUUUUGUUCUUGAAUUAUCUGGUGCCAGGAGAGAAAGAUAAGAGUACAGAUGUAGGAUCUUAAUUUGAGCCAGUUUGCUGCAGCAGGAAAAUAAUCCUGCAGCAACAGGAAAUGUCAAUAGUUUUUUGUGGAUUAUAAUUCAUAUACUUUUUUGUAGUGGUUGAUAGGUUUUUCGUUAUGGUAAAUCAAGUUUGACAUUUUUAAGGGGAAAUUACAAACUUUAUAUGCCUUUUAAAACCUUGAAUUACCAUACAAUUUUGCAUUUCCUGCUGUGCAAGAAAUUCCUGCAGCAGGAUGAUCAAAUUAUGAUAUGGCAUCUGUAGUCGACUGACAAUUCAGGUGGUUGACUUUAAGUGCAAAAUCAAUGCACUGUAUGUUGAAACAGUAAGGUGUGAUCUGAAUAUGACUUCGCUGUAUAUAGGCUAAUCCCUCUGCAGUUUUGGGGUGUGGUGUUCUGUAUGCAAAAAUGUGCCUCUGAAUAUGCCUGUUUGGUUCAUUCAGCACGUCUGUAGUUUACAGUACGGUGUUGUACUUAUUUAAUGUAGUACUACAUACUGAGUAUGUAGUUUACAGUACGGUUUUGUUCCUAUUUAAUGUAGUACUACAUACUAAGUCUGUAGUUUACAGUACGGUGUUGUACUUAUUUAAUGUAGUGGUACAUACUGAGUCUGUAGUUUAACGUAUGGUGUUGUUCCUAUUUAAUGUAGUGCUACAUACUGAGUCUGUAGUUUACAGUACAGUGUUGUUCCUAUUUAAUGUAGUGCUGGUACAUACUGAGUCUGUAGUUUACAGUAUGGUGUUGUAAUUAUUUAAUGUAGUGCUGGUACAUACUGAGUCUGUAGUUUACAGUACGGUGUUGUUCCUAUUUAAUGUAGUACUACAUACCGAGUCUGUAGUUUACAGUACGGUGUUGUACUUAUUUAAUGUAGUACUACAUACUGAGUCUAGUUUACAGUAUGGUGUUGUUCCUAUUUAAUGUAGUGCUACAUACUGAGUCUGUAGUUUACAGUACGGUGUUGUUCCUAUUUAAUGUAGUACUAUAUACUGAGUCUGUAGUUUACAGUACUGUGUUGUACUUAUUUAAUGUAGUGGUAGAUACUGAGUCUGUAGUUUACAGUACGGUGUUGUACUUAUUUAAUGUAGUACUACAUACUGAGUCUGUAGUUUACAGUAUGGUGUUGUACUUAUUUAAUGUAGUGCUGGUACAUACUGAGUCUGUAGUUUACAGUACGGUGUUGUACUUAUUUAAUGUAGUACUACAUACUGAGUCUGUAGUUUACAGUACAG